UACGUAGGGUGCGAGCGUUGUCCGGAAUUAUUGGGCGUAAAGAGCUCGUAGGCGGUGUGUCACGUCGGCCGUGAAAACCUGCAGCUUAACUGUGGGCGUGCGGUCGAUACGGGCAUCACUGGAGUUCGGCAGGGGAGACUGGAAUUCCUGGUGUAGCGGUGAAAUGCGCAGAUAUCAGGAGGAACACCGGUGGCGAAGGCGACGCCUGGACCGGCAUUGACGCUGAGGCGCGAAAGCCAGGGGAGCAAACGGG
rnacentral:rRNA from 1 species